AAGACUAUAUUUUUCAGGGAUCAUUUCUAUAGUUUCUAACUGGAGAAAUGUGUUUCUAAAGUGUUUGGUCCUCCGCCAACCACGAUGAUGAGUGUGCUAUAUUUCCUUCUGAGCGUGAACUGACAGAGAGUAAUGAUUCGUUUCAUAUGUUCUCUGUCAUUGAUGAUGUUCUUUACUUCUUUGUGGAGUAUGAGGAAGGGAAUAAUGAUAGAGUGGU
rnacentral:snoRNA from 1 species